rnacentral:tRNA from 1 species
GGAGGAGUGGCCGAGCGGCUGAAGGCAGCGGUCUUGAAAACCGCCGAAGGGCAACUUUCCGUGAGUUCGAAUCUCACCUCCUCCG